CGCGGUGGAGCAGCUUGGUAGCUCGUCGGGCUCAUAACCCGAAGGUCGUUGGUUCAAAUCCAGCCCCCGCAACCA
rnacentral:tRNA from 1 species